UACUGGCAGGAUCAACCAGGCAACAGUGAAGAACAAGUAUCCUCUUCCUCGGAUCGACGAGCUUUUCGAUCAGCUUCAGGGUGCUCAAUAUUUCUCGAAGGUGGAUUUGAGAUCGGGAUAUCAUCAGCUUCGAGUCAGAGAGCAGGAUGUGCAGAAGACGGCGUUUCGUACUCGUUACGGGCACUAUGAGUUCCUUGUGAUGCCGUUCGGGUUGACGAAUGCGCCAGCAGUGUUCAUGGCCUUGAUGAACAAGAUCUUCACCCCGUACCUAGACAGCUUUACAGUGGUAUUCAUCGAUGAUGUAUUGGUCUAUUCCAAGAUAGACCAGAGAGGAGCACGAGCAGCAUUUGAGGACAUCUCUGCAGUUGUUACGUGACAACCAGCUGUAUACGAAGCUCAGCA
rnacentral:misc_RNA from 1 species